rnacentral:rRNA from 1 species
GAUCCUGGCUCAGGAUGAACGCUAGCGGGAGGCUUAACACAUGCAAGUCGAAGGGCAGCACGUCUUCGGAUGGUGGCGACUGGCGAACGGGUGCGUAACGCGUAUGCAACCUACCCUCAACAGGGGAAUAGCCCAGAGAAAUUUGGAUUAAUACCCCAUAGUAUUACAGAUUCGCAUGUUUCUGUGAUUAAAGUUCCAACGGUUGAGGAUGGGCAUGCGUGACAUUAGCUUGUUGGUGAGGUAACGGCUCACCAAGGCAACGAUGUCUAGGGGUUCUGAGAGGAUGAUCCCCCACACUGGUACUGAGACACGGACCAGACUCCUACGGGAGGCAGCAGUGAGGAAUAUUGGACAAUGGAGGCAACUCUGAUCCAGCCAUCCCGCGUGCAGGAAGAAGGCCCUAUGGGUUGUAAACUGCUUUAUACAGGAAUAAACCCCUCUACGUGUAGAGGGCUGAAGGUACUGUAAGAAUAAGCACCGGCUAACUCCGUG